CUGCUUGCACCCUCCUCCUCCUCAUCCAGCGACGCACGAGGGAAGUGAGGAGAGGGAGGGGCACUCUGCAGAGACGAAGAUGAUGUUGAUGAUGGUGAUGAAGAAGAUGAAGAAGUGUGAUGAGGAGGAGGAGGGAGGACAGGAAGGAAAGGAGAAAGAAAGGAAUGAGUGAUCCGAAUUUUCCUUGCUUCCUUGCUUUUGGGGGGGGGGGGGGAGGGCGAGUUGCGGGCACAGCACCGCCAAACCCCACCAGCAAGGACACACGAAAUCCCCCUCCAAUGGAAAAUCGAGAACCGAACUAACGAAAGAAAAAGGAAAACGGACACUUGGAGAGUUUCUGCUCUACUCUUCAGUAACCAAAUCCUGAAAGCGGAGACAGCACAAGAAGCUGCAGCAGCAAAGCAGGUAGCUAGCUAAAGUAAGCAGCCAGCCAACCAGCCUAGGGUCCCUAUUGAGGAGUAAGGCAGUGAGGAGUGUAGGGCUUUUGGGCCACGCCUUUUGCCUCGCCGAUCCAUCUGGAGGCAGAGAGUCCAAUGGGGUUGCCCCCCCCCCCCCCACUUCCCUUUCCGUCUCCUUCCCUCCCCUUCCGCCUUCUUCUCUUGUUCUUAGUGUAGCUGUCUGCCCCUUCACGCUCCAAAUUUUCUUAUUUCUCUGGUCAGUACCUUCCCAUUUGCACUAGCCCUCUGCCCCCCUCUUCUUCUUGCACUGCUAGUCUAGUGUCGGUGACCCAUUGUUGCAACUACAUUCUCAUUCCAGUAGACGCAAGAUUCGUGAGUUGCAAGGUGGAGCAUUCAACAUUUCGUUUGUGGGCACUUCGAGUUUGUGGGUCUCCCAUUUGCCUUUGAGAGAGGGGGAUUGUCAUGGAUUUGGUAGAGUGGAGUGGGGUUUUUGGAUCUGUGAGGAGAUUAUGCAGGUGGGGUUAUGUAAUUGAAUUAUAAACGUUGGAUUCUGUGCAGAACUUGCGGACUUGGUAGGUGGCUCCUUGAGUAGGGUAGGAAAGUUGUACGUUUGUGGCAAUGGCGUUGUCCCCUGCCAUGACCAGGCAAGGGAGCCUAGUGGGAUUACAAAUCCAGCAGCCUACGUUGCGGCGGAGUUCUUACUUAGGGUUGCAGUUGACGUCUCAACCCUGUGCGAAGUUUUCUUCUAUUAGCAGAGGCAACUUGGACCUUCGCUGCCAAGUGAUCCCAAGCUCAACCACCCUGCCCCACUUCAAUGUUGACAUUUCUGGUGCGUUGCCUAUCCAUUUAAUUUUUGCAUUCUCAAACUAUGACUGUGUUUUGUGAAUAUUUAGGCUUUACUGCGUGAGGAUGAGCUCAAAGUUUCAGCGUAUAAGGAUUGAGACUCAAGAGUUAGGUCAUUUGAGAAAUUGUCUUUUCCAGGAGUGUUAAAAGUACGGGUUGUGCUCUGUGCGAGAGCUCUAUCUGCAAUNNNNNNNNNNNNNNNNNNNNNNNNNNNNNNNNNNNNNNNNNNNNNNNNNNNNNNNNNNNNNNNNNNNNNNNNNNNNNNNNNNNNNNNNNNNNNNNNNNNNAUGUAUAACGAUCUGAAUGAUACGCUUUGUUGCAGGACUGGCAAGCAAUUCGGCCGAGGAGAGGACACUAUUCGUCUGGCUCUCCCAGUAAAGGACGUAUGGCGGAAGACACACUCGGUCUAAUGAAGGUUGAAUGCCUGCUAAUGCUCUCAUGCCACGUUAAUUUUGUAGUUUAAGUCAUGCCAAAUUGGGUAUACUUGGUUGUUAUGGAACUUAAUUAUAAGGUGUCAUAAUUUCUUCAAUUUUUUAAUUUGAGCGUCUUAGGAUAUUUAACAUUCGAUGAAUAAUCAAAUGGGUCGCACAUGUGCAGGAUUGCCAACUUUCAGUGCGAAAACUGAACCCUCGCCAAUACAUCGCAGAUAUUUCUGAAGUAAGUUCCCCUUAACGAUCAAUCGCAAAAUCCUUCUGCAUUAAAUCAUGUUUUGUUUCAGAGGUGUUGGUUGUCAUGGUUAGUUUCUGAGAAUUAUGCUAUAUGCCGAUUUUGCGUGUCCCGUUGGUUUUAAUAGCUCAAGAACGUUGAGGUGUGGUUUCAACGGGCAUCCGACGUCGUGAGGAAGCUGAAAACUGGGGAUGUGGACAUGGGCAUUGUUGGCUACGAUAUGCUUCGGGAAUAUGGGGAGGUAAGCACUUGUUCCUUGCAUAUUCUAUGUGUAUAUACUGGUUGUAGUCGUCCUUGCGCAACAACCACCAUACGAAGAUUGCAUCUGGUUCGAUCUAUGCUAAGAUUAUCAUAAGUUGAAAUCAUUUUGGACUGUCUAGAAAUCUAUUAAUUCUUCGUUCUUCUGGUCACUUUCACUAUCCCGCAUACAGUCUAUAAUUGAAGUUGCCUUCUCAUAUGUCUAUCGUAUACAUUCAAGAGAAUACAUUUUUGAUAAAUUAUUUAUUUCUCCUUUUUUUUAGGGGGGGUGGAGGUGUUUUUUCAUCCUUUUCGUGAGUAUGUUUACGCGCGUAUCGGAAGUUAUCAGUAAUAAAUCCUACUUAUUUGCAUUUGUGUCCAGGAUGACGAGGACCUUAUAGUAGUUCACGAUGCUUUGGGAUUCGGACAAUGCCACCUUGCAAUCGGGGUGUGUGCUCCUUCAUGGACGGCCGUUCUAUAAUCUUUUAUAAAUUCAUAGAGUUUUGUAGAUUCUGGAUUUGUUGUUCUUUCGUCCGUUCCAAGUUUGCAGAGUUUUCACAACGUCGACGACAUCACGGGAUAUGAGCUAGCUGUGUAUGCGAAAUCCCUCUGUCAGGUUCUACUUGUACAUGUACAUUGGAUGUCUUCAAGUUCCAGGUUUAACUCCUCUUUAAGGGAUUUGACUCCUCUUGCAGAUUCCAACUUAUGGCAUAUUUGAGAAUAUAAACUCUUUAAGUGAGCUGGCUGCCAUGCCAUUAUGGACUGAAGAUAGGCCAUUGCGUGUUGUCACUGGCUAUACGUAUGUAAGUAAUGAUUCUUUCCAACUCGUCUUGUUGUAUAUCUUAUGUAGCAAUGUAUAGGUUAUUCGUCUUGUCGCGGUACUCGUUCUGAGUUUUAUCUUUCUGUAAUGCAGCUUGGAAAGAAGUUCUUGGAAGAACACGGCUUUAAGCAUGUGGAGCUCUCAACUGCUGACGGUGCUUUGGAAGCCGCACCAGCUGUGAGUAACUUUGCAAGAACUAUACCCUUGUGAUCUAGUUUUUAAUGAUGUGAGCCAGUAUCAAAGCUUCAUGCAGUGUUUGUCAACUUUUAUAUACAAAGGCAUUGCUGUAUGUAAAUUUCUAUAUGUAUUGACUUGGAAUCUGCGCAGAUGGGAACUGCUGAUGCCAUCUUGGAUUUGGUGAGCAGCGGAACUACUCUACGUGAGAACAAUCUGAAGGAGAUUAGCGGUGGAGCUGUUCUCAGUAGUCAGGUCUCUUAUCUUUCUACUAGUGUUGUAUUCAUAUUGUUGUUUCGAAAGACUGACGAUCAGAAUUUUCUGUUACUGCGUGUUCUUGAUGUAACCGUCUUGCUCUUCGUGCCACAUGGCAACAGUAUUGGCCUCUAACUUCAGGCAUCUAGGUAUUAACAAAUUGUUCUGCGUUAUUAAUCAAAGGGUGUGUUCGUCGCCAACAAAAAAGUACUGCUGGAGCGGAAGGAGGUGCUCGAUGUAGCUCAUGAAAUGUUGGAGCGGUUUGAAGCACAUCUAACUGCCCAAGGUCAAUUCACGGUAGGAAUUGUAACACUCUAGCUUCUGAGUCACCGGACAUGGGUUUCAAGGGGUCAAUGCUGCAAAACCGCACUGGAGUGACUGUUAAAGUGGGUAUUUUGUAUCUUAUUAUUGUUCCUUAACCGUGUCUUACCAUAUACCAGACUUACACGUCUUUUCACUUCCCUUUGUAACAGGUGGUUGCCAACAUGAGAGGCGAUUCUGCAGACGAGGUUGCGGAUAGGAUUCUCAACGCCACCAGUUAUCCAGGCUUGCAGGUCAUUGACUAUCUUUGACAUUUGGUCGUCGUACAUUUGUUGCAGUUGUUUACAUUGCAACUCCAAUGAAGGAUGUGCUUCUCGUGUCUGAAUGUUCCGUGAUAACCUGCAGGGCCCUACGGUCAGUCCUGUUUACACUAACAAAGGUGGUAAAACUGCGGUGGACUACUACGCUAUUAUCAUAUGUGUUCCAAAGUUUCAACUAUACCAAGCUGUCCGGGAACUAAGAAAGGUACCUUCUCUCGUGCACUAGCUUUUCGUCAUUUUGUCCUUACCUCUUUUAGUUAGAAACAAGUUGAUUAUUAAAUUCCUCAGGUCAAUGUUCAGUACUUCCAGUCUACUAUACGUCGCCAAAAGGCAUACAGCAACUUCACUGAAAAUUAAAACAAAGGAACGCUGAACUUUUCUACGUUUGACCUGGGUUUCAGGCUGGAGGUAGUGGUGUGUUGGUGUCACCAUUGACGUAUAUUUUUGACGAAGAGACUCCCAGGUAUCGGCAAUUAUUGGACAAUUUGCAGAAGUAGAUCCAUAUGCAAUUCUCAUCCAUUUGUGAUCAAUUUAGAACCUUGAGCGAAUUGAUUUCCACGGGCAACUUCUCUCUGAUUUCGUAUAUAUUCUCAUCCACUGUCUCCAUUUUCCUUGCGUACAACCUACUACGUCUAUUCAUCUGUUUUCGCCGGUUCAGGUUUUGACUUACAAGCCCCCUGUUCUGUUGCUCUUGGUAUAUAUUUCUUCAUCGUCCUCACAAAUGCCCAGUGAUGCUUGCCCUUUUGAAGCUCUUCCUACUCGCAUUUCCAAUUCCUCCAUUCCGUAGCUUGCCUUUCCUAUUGGCCACCCUUCACACUAAACUAGUACAGUCCAUACUCACGUUGGCAGCCUCCCACCAAUCUUGAACCCCUCCUGAGUAGUUCAGGAUAACUUGUCUCAAAUUCAGCGGCAUGUGGUUAUAAAUGCUUGUAUUUUUAAAAAUGCUUGUGGCCAAGAAAAUGAGCUAAAACGGUUAAUGCGUAGAAUUGCAAAUGUCUUCAACAAUCACACAUUCGGAUGUAGGUGGUGGAAUUCUUGACAAAAGCCUAAUCAAAUAUUUCCAAUGCUGUAACAUUUAAGAUAUCUUGCUAUUCGCUAACUAUUUACGUCAAUAAUCUCAGGACAUCAUUUCCAUGUUUUGGAAGAAAACACGCAAUGAAGACUUUUAAUGGUGAAUGGAUCUGAGAACUUCGUAAACAUCGUUCUCUAAACAAUAUUGCAAACAAUGACAUUUGAAUAUAUCAGACCAAUAAAUACUUCCAAAGCAGGGGCCGUGAAAAAUAUACGACUCAAAAAAAUUUAAACAUCUAUUCUCUGCUAAAUAACCUAAAAUGUAAAAUGACAAUACGUUACAUUCUGCACAUGUUAAUGACAUCACUGUCAAUCUACAAUGCUUUCGACUAAUUUCAAGAAAAUAUCAAUUACAACUGCUUCAACAAAACAAAAAAAAGGACAUAUCCUAUGCCCCAUCUUUCGUAAUAGCGAUAAAUGCAAAUCCAGAAAGAUAUAGUAACAGAAGAAAACUAACUAAAACUCCGAGAACCCACAACUUUGAAAUGCAACCACACUGUCGACAAAGCAAAAAAACACUAAUUAGAAAAUUCUUACAAACACAUACUAAACACUACAAUAUAUGUUUACAUAGAAAUAAUAUAUCUUAAAAGCAUUAAAAAUAAAUGUGCAAACAGUCGCAAUAUACAUCUACAUAGCACAUAGACAUACAAUCAUAUAUUAUAAUAAUAAUCAAAAAAGCAUAUCAAUUUAUAAUUCAUGGACCAUCUGGAUUAAAAACAAAUUACGCAGUCAAAAGAAGGCAUUACAACUACAAUCAAAUCCGUACCCUCACAAUUCAUAAAUUGAAGAACCAUGUGUAUAUAACUUAACAAAUAUAUCAAACAAAAUAUAUAUAACAGUGCCUAAAUCACAAACACAAUGAGAUUUCGAAAAUAAAGAUAUAUUUCGACCCACGUAGCACAAAAAGACCACAAGAACCAAUUGUACCUUCUUGGAACACACGUUCUUCCGAAUGGCACUAACUAUCUUUUUCUUUUUUCGUUUUUUGUUUUUUGGCAAUUUUUUGUUGUCUCAAGUUUGGGAUAAAAAAAGAGGAAGAAGAAGAAGCGGUAUAUACUUUGAUGACUUGCACCUUAUCAUGAUCACAAACUUACUACAAACUGGCUUUGAUAGCUUUACUAAGAGAGAAGUAGUAGGAAAGGGCAAUACUUGUUCUGCUAAGGUGUCAUUCAUCAUGCUCUUCAAUUGUGUGAUUUCAAUUGUGCAACUUGUGAUAACCAACAUUUCCACUUGAGAGAGCUUCAGAACCUUUUUACCUCAUUCCUUCCUUCAAAUCACAAGUAAACCAACUUUUCUAUCCAAAUUCUCACGCCUCCUCGUAUUUGCUGCAUACAUGGAUCAACCCGAUUAUACAUGAAAAAACAUAUAAUAUGUCACAAGGUUAAACUACACAUCAUGUUCAGCAAAUAAAUUCCCUCUCAGUCUUCAAAUCUAAAAGUGCACGAAUGUACAUAAGCAUGAAGCAUCCCAAGUUCAAUAUCAAUCGGGAUAAUCAUUAGUUCUCAUAACCUUGCAUCCUUAGCCUUGGCAGUAGCAUGUCAUAAUGCUUGCCAUUUCACAUGCACUAGUAGAGCAUUGCGACAUAGAAGAACAGUCUACCAGUGCAAAACCUGCUCUCCAAUCAUACAUCGAAAUUCUUAGUAUACAAACGAUCCUCGAUUGAUCGCUUCUAUCGUUUCACUCGCCCGGCCGCGUAGCGCAGUGGAUUAGCGCGUCAGACUUCGGAUCUGAAGGUCGGGGGUUCGAAUCCCCUCGUGGUCACUUUUGUCAGUUCCCCCUCCCACUUGCUCCCCAACUCGCGUCCUUCCCUCUCUCCUCACAGCGUCGGAACGUUCAUGCUCGUCACGAAGAGUGUGCAAAGCCGCAUCCCCUAAAACUAGUAUGCGAAGCUGCAGCCCCUAAUACAAGUGUGCAAUGUCUCCCUCCCCAAACCCAUGUCUCCAACCAAGACCUCACAGCGCCUGCUCGCACUCCAACAUUCUGCAAUUCACUGGAACUCCUCACUUCCGAAGCUCCACCCCAUAUCCACUGCAACCAUGACCAAGAGGCCCAAGUGUGUGGAUAUAUAUAUAUAUAUAUAUGCCCGGAAUGCGCUCGCAAUCCUGGCACUCCUCCCGUCCUCCCGACUUUCCUGUUCUCCGCAUUUCCCUGCUCAAAUCACUGCUCCGGUUCGCGCUCCCUGAGAACGACUGCGUCAUUAAAUGUCACGAGUUAUUUGCAUUGCCUUGUAUCUUAGGUUGCUGCACGUUGUAUCCCUGUACGGUGAGAUUGUUUCAACCACACACAUCUCAUUUUCCAACUUCCCGAUUGGUCCCCUUAACACGAACAAAUGUUCUUCAGACAUAGUCCUGAUCGCACUCACCUCCAACAUACAGCAGCUCUACUCUACUCCUUCACCGAGCAACAUUACUAUCAGCACACCUCCACGAAGGUUGCCAUUUCUCCUUUUGUGACUUGUGAUUGGAAGCACCCUUCUGUGAUGAACCGUACCAUGAGCUUCUGAUCCCUGCUCGGCAAGGAUUACAAUAGUGUACUCUUGCAAAAGCUUUCACCGCAAUUCCCACCUGCCCUCAAGGAAGUGAUUCUGCCGUCUGUCGCAUUCGCACCCUUGCUGAAGUUGCUCUACCUAAUCUUCAUUCUCAACGAGACAUAAACCGACUCGUGGAAUUCGACAUCGAAAUGAAUACCAACAAUUGCUGUCCUCCUGGGUCGUCGUAAGCUACCUCCACCUACAUCCACUCCCUACUUCAUUCGCAUACCAAUGCCGGACCCCGACAUCGCCUUUGCUUUCACGAACUUCUGUACCACACUGUCCUCUACACACGACUACUCACACUCGACAAUCCAACCGGUAUCACACAAUCCAACAGUGUUUCUUUUCUUCCCAGGAGAACAACCAGGAAGACAAAACAAUGUCAUCGGUGUCACAAAACGACCUGUACUACUUUUUCGCCUUCAGACUGACACCUCAGAUCCCCGAACCUCCCCACUGAAACAUACCCUGCUCGCUCAGGUUCACCGUUCCCUGAUCACAUGCAGUAGCUCUCUCCGUCGCCGUCAUGUACAAAUUGUUUUGGUAGCUGCGGGCCCACGAAUGGCCCCAGCGUCAUAGGUCAACCCUAAUCCUCAGCGCCGACUCAUCAAGCCAAUUUAACUUGACUCUUGUAUCACAUCAUACCAUCUAAGGUGCCGCCUAUCUUGCGGCCCAAACAGCUACGAGCCCAGCGAGCCAUGACGAUUACAGUGUUGGUAAGCCAGAGUUGCACUAUCGUAUCGUUGCAUGUGAGAACAAAAGAGUACACUCAUACCAUGCAUCGGGAUACAGUUUCGGACACUACACACAAUGCUAAGACCAUGUGCAUGCUGUUAACAUACCACAGAUAACGCUGAGACUAUGCGCAUAAUGAACAGACACCGUAGGUUAUGCUAGGAGUACAAGCAUACUGAACAAACACCCCUUCAUCGGCCCAAGUGUCACCGAAUAAACUACAACCAAUACCGACACCCCUUCGCGCGAAUGCCUCCAUCACAACGAGUGCCAAGCUCAAUCCGAGAUGACGACGCCCAACUGUACAUCCCAACCAUUACGGCUUCGACUGCACGCGGCGGGAUCGCAACCACGUCCGGCCCACUGCUUUGUGGUUUGCCCCACGCACGUGGAAUCGAAAAGCCUGCGCAUUUUUAACAUGCACCAACAACAAUGCAUGGGGCGCUCCAACUCCAACUUUCAUUCACAACUCGCAUCGGAUAUCACACAAACAGCAUGCACCCUUCCACUGCGAACACCGCCCAACCCCACAUCCCAACCACAUUCCGCCCCAAGAUCACGGACACUUCCAACUGCCCGGGGACCGACCAUCGCGCUACAACCCUGCACUGUGACGCGGCACCCCCACUCAACCCCACCACGCAUCCCCUCCUCAAAUUCAACACCCUGCCACACCACUCCACUACCCUGCUGCCCGCCCACACCCAGCACAACACAUCCCAACCCGACUCCACAACUCACAACCAGCUCAACCGCGCCGCCACACAGCUGCUGCAUGCACCACAAUCACCUCCGCAUCCACAACAAUCCACUGUCUGCCCACGCCCAUCCCCACCCCCAUUCCCAUCCACCGCACAUCAUACAUCCCACGCAGACGUUGAAAACCUUUCCGACAUCAUCUCUUGUGAUGCCUCUCCUUUCAUUCCCAUGGCACUAUCUGAAAACUGCCUCGUCGUUCUUAGAACCAAAAUUCAUACGCCAGCUUGUCCCUGUACCGAAAGCUAUCACUACUCAAGGGGAAAUAAGAAAAUUUAACAAAAAGAAGGGGCAAAAUAAUUUUAAAAAAAACGAAAAAAAAAUUAAUUUAACCACCGUCCCUACGCCACCUCUAUUGCACAUCUUCGCUCGACUUCUUCUUUUUCUUCUUCUUCUUCUCGCUCUUCUCUACACUAGCUGCCACCUCCGUCGCCUCCUCCAUCUCCACGUCCCCCGACUUCAUCUUCUUCUUCUUCUUCUUCUUCUCCGUCGUCGCUUCUCCAUUCGUCUCCUCUGCCGUCUCUCCCUUCUUCGCCUUCUUCUUCUUCGGAGCCGUGUCCGGCGUUUGUGUCACGGGGCUCGACGCCUCCUUCGACCGCUUCUUCUCGCUCUUCGAUCCGUUCUCUACCUCCUCCGCACCGCCAUUGUCCGCCUCGCCCUUGCUCUUCCCCUUCGCCGGGGUCGCCAUCUCCGCGCCCUCGCCGCCGUCCGCUGCUGCCUUGGCCCCCUCCUCCUCGGCCGCCUUCUUCGGCGCCGCGUCGAACUGAGGCACUCGCAGCCACUCCGCAGGCGUCUUCUCGUUCGGUUUCCCGUGCUUGUCCAGCAGCCCGUCGCUGAUCAUCUUCUUCUUCGUCAUCGCCCGCGGACCCAGCCCCCACUUCCUCGGGUACGUGUCCCUCUCCAUCACCACCCUCUUCACCUUCGCCACCACGCCGUGAUCGCACGUCGCCAUCACUGCCGUCGUCAUCUGAGCGAUGCCCAGCGCUAUCGCCUCGCCCUUCGUCGUCAUCAGCACCACCUCCUCGCCCACCUCGAUCCCCUGCUCGUACCUCAGCAGCCCGGGAAUCAUCAGCUUCGCCCCGUAGCAGAUGGCAUUCACUGCGCUGUCCUUCACCACGCACCUCUUGUAGCUCGUCAGCAGAACCUCCAGAGGCAUGAUCACCCGCCUCAAGUAGCUCUCGUCCUUGUGGUUGUCGUACACCCACUGCGCGUCCAGCACGUCGUGCAUCGUCACCAGGUUGUCUUUCUCGCCCAGAAUCCCCGACCGAACCCUACGCAGCUCCUGCAUGUGACCUCCCACUCCCAGCAGCAACCCCAAGUGCACGCACAGCGUUCGAAUGUACGUCCCCGCCUCGCACGACACCCAGAACACCACCAGGUGCCUCUCCGCAUCAUACUCCAGCAGCUUGCUCUCGUAGAUUGUCCGAAUGCGCAGCUGCCGCUUCACCGCCGAGAUCAGAGGCGGUCUCUGAAACAGCGCGCCCGUCAGCGUCUCAAUUGCCUGCGCCACCUUCGCCACCGACUCCACCGCCGAGUGCAGCCUCGCCACGCACACGUACUCCUUUCCGGCGCCCUGCUGCGCCUUCACCAGCCGAGUCGCCCUGUCCACGCACACGAUCAAGCUGCCCGUCACCUUGGGAUCCAGCGUCCCACUGUGCCCGGUCUUGUCCACCCUCAGCAUGCGCCGAAUCCAUGCCACCACCUCGUGCGACGACGGGUUCGCCGGCUUGUCCAGAUUGAUCACUCCAUACCUCACGUAAUCGUGAAGCGGCCUCUUCAGCGGCGUGUGCCCCGUCGGCAGCGGCGUGUAAUGCCCCGUCCUCACGUUCAGCUUGUCGUAAUUCUUCAGCAGAAUUGGCCACUUCGAGGUGUCCAACGGCGGGGUCGUCGACUGGGGCUUAAUCAGGUAAUCGGUGUCCGCCUGCUCGUUCGAAGGGGCGUCCCCCAACACCACCUGCUGCCCCUCCGCAUCCUCGACCUCGCGAUGCUUGUCUUUCCUCUUCUUCUUGCUCUCCGUCCCUGCCAUUCCUGUGUUGCAGGCGCGGGUAGCACUCUCAGGUUCAACAGUGGUCUAUAAUGCCUAAAAUCGCAGAACGAAAGACCUACAACAGUACGCGGUUGUUGCAGAAGUAUAUGAGUGAUGGGUAGAGCGGGGUGGGACGGGAUGGCAUAGAGAGCUACGACGGCGCACAGAGAAUGCGGAGAUGGGGAAGCACAGCUCUCGGGGAAGGGCAGGGAAGAAGAGAAUCGUGGGCGGUGAGGGAGCCGGAGUGUUGUAGAGGAGGAGAACAGGGAAGCCAUGGGGCUCACCGAGCAUCAUCUGCUCAGGCUGGUCCCGAAUUAGGGUUUAGGGUUUAACUUGCAAGGCGGACGCCGCUUGCUCCCCGGCAGCCAUCUGAGCCGUCCGUCCAUUGUCUCUGCGGGGGAUGAUGGCAUGGUGAACGUGGGGCCCUUGAGCGGAACACUGUUCUUAUGCUCAUCCUCGUCCUCUGCUUGUUGCUCUUUUCAUUUUCCUUCUCUUGUUUGCAAUGCCUUUACCUCUCUACUUUUACAUCAAUAAUCAAUAUCCUAUUCAAUCGUUAUAUUGAGACAGUUUUUUUUUAUUUUUAUUUUUAUAAAUGCAAUAUUGUAUUCAAACAAACAAAUGACUAUUACACCAAUACGGAUUGAACAAAUGUUAGUAUUGAUAUCAUUCAUCAUCAUUUGAAAAAUACUUAUCCUAUUGUGAUAAAAAAAUAGAUUAUAAUCAUUGUGCAUGUACAAUGAAAUCCUACAAUAUUUUAUUAUAAAUCAAUAAGCAACUACUAGGUUUUAAGUAUUGAUAUGUGAUCUAUUAACUGCAACUGUUAAGUAAUGAUUAAAACUAUUGUGUAUAUUUCUAGCUUUCAUUCUAUUGACAUUAAAAAAAAAUUUGUAGAGUUAUAAAAAAAAAAAAACAGAAUACUUUAUAAAUGUCGUUACAUAUUUAAUGUUCUCACCACAAAAUCAAUUGAAGCAAAACAAUCACAAGUGGAGUUGCACUAUCUUUUAUGACAUGGAAUUUUAGAUGAUAUGAACAAGCAAUAUGUAUUUUUUACAAAUUUAUUCUUAAUUCGUUUAUUUUUUAAAUUCAAAAUCAAAGGAUUUGUUGAAAAAAUUAUCAUAUGCAUACAUAUUUCCACUAUUAUUCUUUGUAAAAGUUCAUAGAGAGAAUAGAUAUAUAUUUUUUUAUAAACAUUAAUGAUUGCAUCUAAUUUAAAUACAAUUAAUUCUUAGAAGUAUGUUAAUUUUUGUUAUUGCAUAUGCAUAUAUAUGUGCAUGUACAAAAAUAAACACAAUUUAUUUAUUUUUAUUUUUAAAAUUUAUAUAAUAUAAAAUUAAUAGAAUUAAUAUUAAAUACAUCAAAUAUUUUUCAAAUAAUUCUUCAAAUAUUAAUUGAAAUAUUUUUCAAAUAAUUUUUUUUAAUAGGCCUACAAAAUCUAAAAUAUAUGAAAAUAAAAAAUUAUCAUUACUUUGGCAAUUCAUAGAUAUAAUCAUCAACUUUUGAAUAGUCAAAAGUAUCAUAGAUGAGAACCAUAAUUAACAAAUUAAAAGGUGUUUGUUGAAUAGAAGAAUGUACUAUGGUAUUAAAAUCAAACUCUACAAAUGAAAAAAGAGUUGUCUAAUCAUUUUAAUUGUAGUUGAUUAUACAUCUCAAACACUACUCUAAAACUUAAUUUAUCUAUUAUAUUUAUUGAUCAAUUUGAAUAUAGAAAGCCAAAGAUAUAUUUAUAUCCAUCUUAAACAUCUUAAAAAGGAUUUUUUAAAAUCAUAAAAAAAUUCAAUCCAUACAUUCAAUUUAAUAUCGAUUGACAAUCCAUGAUAGCAAUAAAUCAUAUAAAAAAUUAAAAUAAAUAAAAAUUCUUUACAUAUAAUAUUUUUUUAUAGAUAGUAUAAAAUGUGCCAUCUUGAUAAAAUAAUCUAUUAUGACUAGUAUAGAAUCAUAUAAAUUUGAGAUUGAAAGAUCCAUGAUAAAAUCCAUAGAAAUAAAAGACCAUAGUUGUUUUAAUAUUGAUAAUAGUUGAAAAAAUGUGUAAGGUUGAUAUCAAAGAAUUUUUAAUUUUGAAUAUCACAUGAUUGUACAAAGGCUUUAACUGUCUUCUAUAUCUAGAGACAUCAAAUAUCUCUUGAGAUUACUUCAAAAGUCUUAUUUUAUUUAAAAUAUAAUAUAAUUAGAAGUCAUAAUAAGCAUGAAGAGUACAUAAUUGUGCUUCAUUUUUUAGAAUAUAUAAGUAUUAUUUGGAAUAAAAUAGAUUAUUUUUAAAUUCAAACUUGGAAGUAUCAUAAGAUUAAAAUAGAUUAUUCUUAAUUUAUGAAAAAGAAGAUCAGAGAACAUAUUAAAUUGAACUUGCGUAAAAAAUGUUGAAUCAAUAAUUAAAGUUGAUUUCAUUGCUUGAAGAUGAAAUUUCUUUGGCUUCACUAUAAUUGUUCCUUGUUGAUAUGAAAUACUUGAAAUUCUUGUGAUUUGUACAAAUAAUUAUUGGACUUAAAGCAUCUUCUAGAUAAUGGCGCUAUUUUUGAAAUGAAUCUACAAUUACAAAAAGUUCUUUCUUAUGGAUCUUAUACAUGAUCUCCAUUGCUAAAAAUAUUCUUAAAUGAAUAGCUAUAAGAUGAAGUUUGUCAUCUACUUCUAUUUUUAAUAAUACCACAAAGAAGACAAAAUUCAAUGCAUCUUUUUUAUAAAAAAAUAUCUUGUAUACUUCAAUAUAAUACAAGAUUGGUGUAAAAGUGAAAGUUAUUUUAAAGCUUCAAAUGAUGCUUAAGCUUUAUUAUUUUAGUUAGAUUUAUCUUUCAAAGUCAAAUAUGUAAAUAGAAUUACAACUUGAAAAACAUUCUUGAUAAAGAUUCAAUAAAAAUAGAUGAAACUAAAAAAAGAUAGACAUCUUUUAUUAUUAUUAGAAUUUUUUAAUCCAUAAUAUUUUAAAAUUUCUCAGGAUCCAUGAUAAGGCCAUUAUUUGAAAUGAUGUAUUCAAAAAAGUUGACCUCAGUAAUAUGAAAAUACACAUUUUAUUCUCAUGGCACAUUGUUUGGAACUUUAAGUUUUUUUUAAUACAUAAAAAACAAAAAAAAUGAUAUUUUCUUGUAUUCUUUAUAUAAAUAAAAAUGUUGUUUUAAUAUCAAACUAUAGAAUCUCUCAAAAAAUAUUAUUUGUAAGAUGUUAAAAAGCAAUUUGUGGAUUUGUGAUUCCAAAAGAUAUGACUUAAUAUUUAAAAUAUUUUUUAAAAAAACAUAUAUAUAUAUAUAUAUAUAUAUAUAUAUAUAUAUGAAAAAAUAUAGAUUAUUGAGUAUUCAUGAAAAAAAUGAAUUAAAAUUUAUUUUCUAUUUUUUAUAUCAAGACUAAGAUAGGAUCUUAUAUUAAAUAUUUUGAAUCACAUAUAAAUAUUUAGCUAAUUUUUUGUUAAUAUUAUUAUUAAGUACAAUAAACUUAUUUUUUUCAAUAAGCCAUAGAAUGGUCUAAAUGGUAGUUGAGCUCUUUUUUUAAUUAUAAAUUGAGCAAUCAUAGAAAUAAUGUUGUAGAAAAAUAUAUGCAUUAGGAUUUUAAAAAUUGUCUUGAUAAUCUUAAAAUUAGCUUUAAAUAUUAUUUAUAAUCUUUUAAAUAUUAGAUAUGAAUAUGGUAUAAAUAAUAAAAGAUGAUGUUUAUUUUAUAACAUACAUAAAAGCUCUUGCAUCUACCAAUAAAGAUUUGAUUGUAUUAUAUUUCUGAUUUUUUAUUUGGAUAAUCAAAUUUUAAAUAAUAAUAUGAGACAAAUUAAGAUUACAAGAAUUCCAAUCAAAUUGAGAAUUAUAUUUAUCAAGCCAAAAUAAACUUCAAAAAAAGCAAUCAAAGAGAUGUAAUAAUAUAAAAUAAUAUUAAGUUAUUGUAGCUAAUUAAGGUUACAUUUGUAAGAAAUUUUUUAUGAAUAACAUUUUUAAAAGUCAAAAGAUAAUAAUCUAUGACUUCUAUAUGCACAUGCUUAGAUUUCUUGAUUAAAGAUAUUUCUAAUUUGUUAACAAAGUCUUUAUUAAUAAAACAAGCUAAGACUCUUGUAUCUAAUAAAAAAAAGACUUUGUGAUUUUUUGAUCUUAAAAAAACAUCUAUUAUAAAACAAGGUAAAAUAUCUUUAAAAAUAAUAUAACAUUCAAUUUAUAUUCGAUGAGAUUAUAGCUGUACGGUCUCUAUUAUAGCUAGAUAAAUUUGUUUUCUACCACAAUGACUUUUUUGGCAACCAUGAUUUUUAUUGUGUAAUUUUAUAGCUUCUUUGAAUAAUGUUGAGCAAUAUAAUAAAAUUCUCAAUAUUAUAAGCAUAAUCUUUCUUCAUGACAUCAAGUUUUUUUUUCUCAAUGAGAGAUUUGAAAGAUAUUGUAUUAAUUCGCAUAGAUUUUGGCAUUGAUGGAGAAAUUUCUCAAAACUUAAGAGUCAUUGUUAUGACUCAAUUUGUUCAUUCCCAACCAUAUCUUUGUUCUUAACUUCUUUUAAAAAGUAGAUUGUCUCAUGCAAUUACUAAAGUAAUAAAAUAAUUCUAAUGAUUUUGCCUUCGGCAUUGUCAAUAAUGAAUCUUUGGUAUUAGCUUUUUAAUCAUAUUAAAAUAAAAUAAUAGAAGCUUUGUCAUUCUAAUUUAUAUUGCAAAUAAUAUAUUUGAAUUUAGAAACAUAAGUAAUAAAUAAAUAUAAUUCUUAUUGAAAAGAUAAGACGUUGAUCUUUGCUACCAUUUUUCAAUUAUUGUUCUCAAAUUUAAUCAUAAAUACUUUCAAAUAUUUUAUUAUUUUUAAUUUUUUAAAAAAAUCUAUCAAAAUAAUAAAAUAAAAUAUAUGAUUGUGUAAUAAAAAUUAGAAAUGAUGGAUAUGAGAUCAAAUAACAUAUUAAUUUUUAAUAUAUUAAAAAUCUAGAGAUAACAUAAUAUUUAUUUAAACAAUUUUUUUUGAUGAAGUUUCAAAUGUGGUUUGAUAGGUAUAACUUCUUAUAAAAAAUCAAGUAAUUUUUUAUUCAAAUAUUGAUGCAAUUAAAUUCUUAAGACAUGAAAAGCAAAAAAACAAAACUUUAAAAAUAAUUUUCAAAAUAUAUAAAUUAAUAGAGAUUGUAAGGCAAUAUAAGUACAAAGUGUAUUCACAUCAUUAUUUGUAGAACAAGAUUACAAAGAAGAGAAAAUAAGAUAAUCCAAAUCAUCUACUAUAAAAUUAUAUUUUAUUUAUCUUAUUAUAAGAAAAAGAUUAUAUCAUUGGCUAUUUUUGAAAGAAGUAUAUAAACCAUAUUUUUUUAAAGAUUAAAAAUCUAUAAAUAAAAUAUUUUAAUUAAAUUUUAAGAUUACAUUUUUAUAAAUGGUAUUGUGUCAAAGACAUAAGUAAUACAUAAAUAUAAGAUCAAUACAUCCCUGUUUCACUUGGAAAGACUAGAAAAUUAUUCAAAGAUGAUACUAUAUAAAACUAAAAUGACUAUUAUCAAAGAUAAGAAGUAUAUAUAUUCUUGAAAUUAUACUAAGAAUAAGAAUGGCAUUGACAAGAGUAUAGAAGACUUCACCUUUUCAUCUAUAUAUACUAUUUAACUAAGAAUUACAUAACAAUAUUUUAUAGGACCUCCAAUAUGAGUUGACUUUGCAAAACAUAUUUCUUAACUUGCAAGGCAAGUUUUCUAUAUGUGAGCUAUAUAGUUAGUUUGUUCUACAAGCUAUCAAUACAUAUAACAUGUGGCUAAAUUGUUGACCAAGUUUAUAAUCUAUCAAUCAAAUUAUAAAUACGUUGUUGUAUUAUGUUGUCAUAUUACGUGUUGUCUUGUUUAGGAAUGCACCGGGCAGCUAGCUAUGGAAGGUGAGGUUGUGUUUUACAAGUAUUCAAAAAAUCCUAAUAGGUUUCAUCCAUACGAGAAGAAUAUAAUCCGAAUUUCAAUUCAAAAGUGCUAAAAAACACUCUUCUUAGUAGCCUCAAUCAUAUUUAAAUCUCAAUUACCUUGUUACCUUUAUAUUUAAGUAAUUUUGAUUUUUCUUAUAAGCCCCAAUCCUAAUUAAUGAGUUUUAACAAGCUCUAACUUCUAAUCUUAUUGUCUACUUGAUGUAACAUUUUGCAUGAAAUUGUCAAUAUAAGUCUUUUACACACUCAAGAAUUUUCAGUCCAAUUCAACUUACAAAUUGUGAGAAAACCUCCAAAAAUUACACUGAUGUCACUUGGCCGCCAACUUGAAAAGUGAAGUAAAAAUCCCAACAAUGAUUACUCCUUUUCCAACCGUUAACUUUAAAUCAAAAUUGGUGUGCAACUUGAUCUUCAAGUGCUUCAAUACCAUGCCCAAUUUCACCUCUUCUAUCAUGAUUUUAACAAUUUAUGGUCUUUCUAAGUCAGUAAAAAAGUUUCUAUAUCCUAGAAGGUAAAAAUACUAACUAACUUUUAACUACUUGAUAUUAAGACAAGAAAAUAGUCCAAGAGGCUUUCAUAAAAGCCAUAUUAAUAUAUUUUGAAUUCUUAUUCAACUAAUAUAAUAGAAUAUUAAUUAAAAAGUCAUUUUUAGUCAUAUUUUCACCAUAUAAUCAUAUCACAAUAUGACAAUGUGAAGUUUGGCUUGAGAAUGCAUCAGACAUCUGGCUGUGGAAGAUAAAUGGAAAAUUGCAACAAUAAGUCCUAAAAACUCUGAUAGAUUCUUAAAAAAAUUAAAAUUAGAGAUUAACAAAAAUUUAAUCAAAUAUUGUCCAAAUUCAAUUAAAACUUCGAAGGAAUUACAUAAGAAACACAAUAAAUUCCUAUAGAUCUAUUAAAGAAAUCAUAAAGAAAUAACAUAGAAAUUCAAAAAUAUGCUAAAGUAGAAAUCUUAAUAAAAUAUUAAAAUAGAAAUCUUAAUUAAAUCCUAAUCAAAAUCUAAUCAAAUCUUAAUCAAAUUCUAAUCAAAUUCUAAUCAAAUCCUAAACAAACUCUAAAUAAAUCCUAGUCAAAUCCUAAACAAAUUCUAAAUAAAUCUUAAUCAAAUUCUAAUCAAACCUUAACCAAACUCUAAUAUAAUCCUAAAAAAAUCCUAAAUAAAUCCUAAUCAAAUCCUAAAUAAAUUCUAAUCAAAUCCUAAAUAAAACCUAAAUCAAUCCUAGUCAAAUUCUAAAUAAAUCCUAAUAAAAUCCUAGAAAAAUCCUAAAUAAAUUCUAGUCAAAUCCUAAAUAAAUCCUAGUCAAAUCCUAAACAACUCUAAAUAAAUCUUAGUCGAAAUCUAAAAAAAUCCUACCCAAAUCUUAAUUAAAUCCAAAUCAAAUUCUAAACAAAUCCUUAUCAAAUCCUAGUCAAAUCAUAACUGAACUCUAAUCAAAUCCUAAUCAAAUCCUAAAAAAGUCCUAAUCAAAUCCUAAUAAAUCCUAACCAAAUCCUAAUCAAAUCCUAAUCAAAUUCUAAUAAAAUCCUAAAUAAUUCCUAAUCAAAUCCUAAUCAAAUCCUAAUCAAAUCCUAAAAAAUCUUAAUAAAUCUUAAUCAAAUUUUAAUCAAAUUUUAACCAAAUUCUAAUCAAAUUCUAACCAAAUCCUAAUCAAAUCCUAAUUGAAUCUUAAACAAAUCCUAACCAAAUCUUAAAUAAUCUCAAGUAGUUCUUAUAGUAGAUUUAAACCUCAAUAAUUAAUGAAUGAACUAUUGAUUUUAACCGAAAAUUUGCAUAUUAUUUAACAAUUAAAUUGACAACAAGCACAAUUUUUUUGAAAAGGGUCGGAAUUACCAAAUAGACAAUAACUUCAAAAAUGUGCUUGGAUGUUGGUCGGCUUCCUUCUCCAACCUUGAUGCCAAUCUCUUGUAGCCAAUUUCUCCUCAUUAAACAAUUGCUUUGCUUCCAAACUUUGCAUACUUGUUAAACAUUAAGUUGACUACCUCAAAAAAAAAAAAAUUGCUUCAAUCUAACAAGCAAAUUGACAAAUAUCUAAGAAUACUUUAUUGGUCCUUAAAAUCCUAAAUUCUAAAACCAUAACCCACAAAAACCUUCAUGCCUUUCAAAUUAACUGUAUGAUCAAAUUUAAAUUCACAUCACACAUCAAAUACAACUAUCUAUACAAAUUCAAAUUUUUUUAUACAUAGAUCUAUUGCCAAACUUACAAAAUUCUCCAAAAAGUAUCACCGAUUUUAUUUUACAAAUCCAAAGUCAUCCAAAACAAAACCGGACUUUGUAAAACUCUUACAAAGUCAAUGUAAAUCCAAAUCAAUGCCUAUCAAUAUUCUAUUAAGUCAGCUCUCUAAUUCUACUCUUUGAUCUACCAAAGAACUCUAGAAGUGUCAUUGAGGCUUUGCUUUAUGCCUUUGGAUCUAAUUUCGACCCGAGUUGGUAACUGAUCCUCUCAAAGUAUCAAGUCUUGGAUUUUUAAGGUAAUAUAUUCCUUAAACUACUCUUAAUUUUUUUCCAAAAGCUCCUAUAUUGUUUAUUUUUCUAAUCUAUUUUAUUUUACUUUAUUUGUAGUCCUACAAAGUGAAUAGAAGCCUAUUUUAUAAAAAGGCAGUAUUAGCACCUUUAAUUUUUCUACCCAUUUACUAUUAUCUAAGAUAUUUUUAAGUUAAUUUUUUAUAAUAUAUUUGAAAUAAGAUUUUCAAAAAUAUGAUUCUUUUUUCAGCUUUUUACCUAUUAGCCUUUUUACAUCAUAACAAUGUGUACAAUCAAAUCCAUAUUUAUGAAGCUUUUUAUGAAGUUUUUUUAGAAGAUAUUAGAAAAUUAGUCAAUUUUUAGAUAUUUCUAUUUAAUCCUAUAGAUAAUUAUUAGAAUAAAUAUAUAUAUCCAUUAUAUUAUCUCUCUUUUUAAAAACAAGUUCCAUAAACAAUGAUCAUUAUAUAUUGAAAAAAACUAAGAUGCUACAAAUUAUAUUUGCCACAUAUUUUAAUCUUUGUCUUUUUUGGAGAUAGUUGAUAGGUCAUUUCGACUAUUGAUAGUAUUAUAUAUUAAAAAAAAGACCACCCUUUUAUUUAAUUAUUAUUGAGGCCUUUAUAACUUAUUUCAAAUAAAAAAUUUGGAACACUAUCAAAAGCCAUUCUUACUUCUAACACAUUAUAUCUUGUUAUAUAUUCUAGAGAGAACAUAUUAUUUUUAAGGAUCUUCAUCCCAAUUACAUUGUCUUGAAGGUUGUGAUAAUUGUAAUAUGUUGUUUAAUAAGCUAACAAACAAUGGCUCUUAACUUGAAUCUACUGGUUGUUGGUUCUCCAUCUCUUUAGUGCCACAAAUACACAAAAACUAAAAACAAGGAUAGAAAGUAGAAUGCUAUCUUUUUUGGAUCAUAUUUCUUUUAUAAAAAAGAUAAGCUUUUCUUUAUCUUUAUUUAGAUGGAUGUUGUCACUAGAAAACUUUAACCUUCUUUGUUAUAUUUAUAAGAUUUUUUUUUGGCUCAUAUGUGCAUUCACUAAUAUCAUAUCAAUACCAAUGAACACGAUAUUUUAACUUAUUUUGGCAUUGCAUUGAAUCUAAGACUUCUUCUACCUUAAACUCUUGAUUAUUAUCUACUUUUAUAGAAAGAAGAGGCAUUUAUCUUCUUCUUGAGACAUUCAUUGUUUUAUAUGGCUUAAGAAGAGACAUAUAAGAUACAAAAUAGAUUUUUAUAUAUUCCAAUAAAUGUAAUCAAUAAGCAACAAUAUUGACUUAUAUACAAAUAAAAAAUAAUUCAAGCCUAUAAUAAUCUAACUUGUCACAAGGAUGGCUAAUCUUGAUAUUAUACAAAAGUAACCAUAUUUUAUUACCAAUGUGGAAUUGAAGUUGCUCCUUGCAAUAGGCAUCUAUGAUGGUCUUGUAUUAUUCUUAAACUUCUUUUAAUUAUACCCUCAUUAUAGUAUGUAGCUCAAAUAAAUAUUUUUAAAAAUAUUUUGCUAUAAGAUUAUCAACUUUUAAAAAGUCAAAAGCAUCAAGUUAUAGAUGAUAAAAAUAAUUAAUAAAAAAAGAUAUUUUUUACAUAAAAAAAAUACCAUAUUAUUUGCUACUAUUUGUGACAAAAUAACACCUAUAGCAAAGUUUGAUUUAUUUAUUUCCAUGAAGAAUACAUUAGAAAAGUCGAUACAAUACAAGAUUAGUGUAGAAAUAAAUAUUGUCUUUAAAGCUUCAAAAGAUGCUUCAACUUCUUUGCUCCACUCAAAUUUGUCUUUAUAUAUGAAAUAUGUAAGAAGAGCUAUAUUUUUUAAAAAAUAUUUAAUGAAGAUUUGAUAAUAAUUGAUAAAUUCCAAAAAACAUUGCACAUCACUGAUUAUUUUUGGAAUCUUUUUAUCUAUAAUGUUUUAGAUAAUUUUAGAAUUUAUCAUAAUAAUAUUAAUAAAAAUAAUAUAUUUUAAGGAAUUAACUUGAAUAGUAUAAUAUAUAUAUAUAUAUAUAUAUAUUUUUUUUUUCUUGGUAUAUAAUCCGGUCACAGACAUAUAUAUUUAUUCCAAUAGUUAUUUAUAUGAUUAGGUAGAAUUAAAUAAAUAUAGAUUAAUUUUAUAAAGUCUUUUCAAAAAGCUUCUCAGAAGCUUUAUAUACACGAUUUUCUUAGAAGCUUUAUAUAUCACUUAGUUGAUAUCCAAAGAUAAAUUGGAAUAGAAAUUUCAAAUACAAGGAACUUUUUAAGAUUUGAAGGCAACUUUUAUUACACUUAUGAUCUUAAUGCAUUUAAAUUUUAUUAAGGCCUUUUAUUUUGAGAUUGAUGUUUUCAACUUUGCAUCAAGAGUUGUACUAUCAUAGAUGGAAAAAGCUGAAAAAUUCCACCUAAUUAUAUUUUAAACUAAAAAAUUUUAGUUACAAAGAUUAAUUAUGAAAUUUACAAUAAAAGACUUCUUGUGAUUUCAACCUCUUUCAAAGAAUGACAUCACUUAUUAGAAGGCCCUAGACAUUCAAUGAUUGUAUAUAUAAAUUAUAAAAAUUAAAACAUUUAAUAUAAAUUUGGAUUUUAAAUCACCACCAAAUUUGUUGGAAUAUGUCAUUAUCUUUUUUUGAUUUUCUGAUUAUAUAUUGAUCAAAGAAGCAAGAAAGACUAUUAAAUUCUUUAUCAAAUAAAUCACAUCUUAUUCAAAAGGCCGGAAAAGCAACAUUUGAUUAUUAAUAUACCACUAUCUUAAAAUAAAAAUAAUUUUAUCUUUAUACUACUUCUAUGAUUACACCUGUUGAUUCAAGUUUUUUUAAAAAAAUUUAUGUAGUGUGAACUAAAGAUUUAUUAGUUUGUAAUAUCAAGCAAUGCCUUGAUAAUGAAAAAUUCAAAUUCAUGGAAGAUAUUUUGUAUUUUAAAGAUUAUUUACAUAUUCUAAAAGAAUCAAUGAGACUUCAUAUUUUUCAAUCUUAACAUAAUUUUUCAAUUGCAAGAUAUUUUGAGUUUAAAAAAACAUUAGAACUUAUCUUUUGAGAUUUUUAGUAGCCUCAAAUAUAGAAGUCUAUAAAGAAUUUUGUCUUCUCAUGUGACAAGUGUUCAAGAUCCAAGAAUUCUUGUCAUUGUUCUUAUGGACUUCUUUUGCCACUAUCAAUUUUGAAGCAACCAUGGUCUUUAAUAUCAAUAGAAUUCAUCACUAAUCUGCCACUAUUAGCUAUAUUUGAUGCCAUUUAUGUUAUUAUCAAUUAACUUAUGAAAAUGGUAUAUUUUUUUUUUUAUAUAAAAAGAUAAUUUUAAAGAAAAAAUAGCAAGGUUCUUUCUUGAUAAUAUAUAUCAAUAUCAAAGCUUAUUUGAUGACAUCUUUUCUAAUUGAGGACUUUAAUUUAUAUCAAAGAUUCGGAAUUUUUUUUUAAUAUGUUAAAGGUGGAUAUUAAUUUUUUUUUUUUGCCUUCUAUCCUCAAAUUGAUAGGCAAACAGACCAUCUCAAUAAAAUAUUAGAGCAAUAUUUAUAAAAUACCAUCAACUAUCAACAAGAUAAUUAGAACUUAUAUUUAUUUUUAGUAGAUUUUGCUUAUAUUAAUAUCUUCAUGUUUUGACUCAACAAAUACUAUUUUAUGUCAAUUAUGGUUAUCAUCUCAAAGUUGAUUUGUUAAUUAUAUCAAAAGAUGAAAACCUAACAACAAAAGAUCUUACAAAUAAAAUUGUUAUAGCUCCAUACAACUUUAAAGCUCCAUUUAUAACACCUCAAGAUUCUUAAAAAAUAUCUUCAUAUAAAUUUAGAAAUGAAUUCUUUACUUUUUAAGUUAAAAAUAAAAUAUGACUUCUUUGAUAAUAUAUUAAGAUCAAUCAACCUUGCAAUAAGUUGAAAUACCAAAGACUAGGGCCAUUUUGUAUUCAAAAGCAAAUCAAUCCAAUGGCUUAUUAGUUAGAAAUGCCCACAUCCAUAAAUUUACAUCUAAUCUUUUAUGUUUCUCUCUUAAAGGCUUAUUCAAAAUCAAUUAUUACAACAAGAAUACAACCAUCACCACCUUAUAUUAAAAUAGAUAAUCAUGUAGAAUAUUACGUAAAAUAAUUAUUUUAUUUUUGAAAAAGAAAAAAUAAUUUAAAAUAUUUUAUUCAUAAUAUUAAUGAAUAUACAUAGAAAUUAGCAAAAAAUCUAAUUAAUGUGCUGCCAAAGGUACAAAAGUUUCAUUGAUGCUAUCUUCAAAAAUCUAAACCUAUUUUAGAAUGAAUUUUCUAUAAAGCUAUUACUUGGAUGUUGUAUAGAAUGAAGAGAGCAAGUAUUAUUCACAACAAUCUUAUAAUUUAAUAUAUUUAUUUUAUAAUCUAAUAUAUGAAAUUAAAAAAUAUUUAGAGAGUCUUUAGAUCAUGAAUCUCAAAUUAGAAUUAGAAUUAGAAUUGAAGCUUUUCAUAUCACUACCACUACAUCAACCAUUCUAGCUCUUACAACCUUUGCAAGAUCAUCUUCAAGAUGAAACUAGAUCUUCUUAAGAGAGGAAAUAUCUACACUACAGUCAACUCAAACAAGUAAACCUUGAAGAUAAUGCUUAAACUUUGAUCAUUCUAUUGCAAACAUGAAAUUAAUGCUCCUUAUUGAACUUGAAGUUAAAAGAGGAAGUGAUGUUGUAGACAUCUAACAAGAAGAUUUUAGAAAUAUUUUUAGAAUAUUUCAUCAAAUUCUAAAAGAUUUUUAAAAGAUUUUUAAACGGUUUUAAAAGGUUUUAGAAGGCUUUUCUAAUAUUCCAACAAGUUUUUAAAAAUUCUAAGAGAAUUGAGAAAGUUAUCUAAAAAGCUUCCUAAGAUUUCUUUGUCUUUAAGCAAUAUGAGAACUUCUCAAGAAGCUUCUUAAUAUCUAGUAUAUAUUUGAGUCAAAGCUAAAAGAAUCCUCAAUCUUGCCAAUACAUUUUUUGGAGCUUUAAUUCAUCUUUCUUGAUAUUAAUUUUAUACUUAUCUAAUUUAGUCAAGUUCUUAUUAGCUUUCUUAUAGAAAAUUCUUUUAUUUAACAUCUUAUUUGAUCUCUUGUAUAGUGUAUUCAUGAUAGAAAUGGCCACAUCUUUCAAGACAAUAUUAUAAGGCCACAGAUUCUCAAAAAUAAUAUUUUUUUCUUUAAAUUGAUUGUGAGACACAAUGUAUUUGAUAUAAAAUUUUUGAAAAACCUCUAGGUAUUUGGUAAUAUUAUUGGAUGUAGAAACCACUCUUGAUUGUCUUUAAAAUAUUAUAUUUGAAAGAAGUUAUUAAAGCCUUAAUAGUGAUUAAAUAUCAAGGUGGUCUUCUUGUUUUGAUAUGGAAUACUAUCAAUGCCUAAAAAGUUCUAUCAACUACAUUUAAAGUAAAUAAAAAUUAAAAUAUAUAGCAAGUACAAUUUUAUUGCAUCUUUGAGUCCUUUGAUAUGUUAUCAUUACUUCUUAUGGAACUCAUCUCUAAACAAAGGAGAUAAUAUCAUUGAAAUAUAUAAUUACUCAGAUAAAAAGUAUUAUACAAAAAGUAAAUAUAUGUAGAUUUGAUAUUAUCUUUUUAAAUAUCUUCUUAGAAGCUCUAUAUAUACAAAUUUGACUUUUUAUAUAUUUGUAGUUAUUUAAUAGAUUAAAAAUUUAGUCAACAAGUUGUCCAUAUGUCGCACAUGUUAGCAACUUAGGGUAUAAGUUGGCUAUAUAAUGCAUAUAUAGAAACUUUUUUUGCAAGUUAGAUACAUGUCAUAGGUCUUAUAUAAUGUUUCUACAUAAGUUUUAGUUAGGUAGUAUAUAUAGAAGCAAGAGUGAAGCAUUUUUUACUCUUGUAAAUGCCAUUCUUGUUUAUAAUCUUUUUUCAAGAGCCUCUAGUCUUGUUAUCUUUGAUAAUAACUAUUCUAGUUUUAAUAUUAUAUUGUCUUUGAGUAAUUUUUUAUUCUUUUUGAGUAGUAAAAUUGUAUAUUAAUCUUAAAAUUAUUUGUGAUUUACAUCUUUAAAAAAAGGUUGGAAUAGAUAUUAUAGUAAUGGUGAGUUUUAUAAUAGAUUAGAGAUGUUUUAUCUUAUUUUUGAAUUUAUUGUGUUCCCUUUUAUAUGGCCAAUCAAAACUCUAUUUUAUUUUUUUGCAUUAAGCUCAAGAUAUUUUAUUUAAUAGAUUGUAGAGGUUAUUACAGGCAUUAAAACUAUUUUUUGAUUUUAUGUAUUGACUAUUUUUAAAAUAAUUUAUUAAAUAUAUAGUAUAUUUGGCAAUACCAAGUUUUUUACUGUCAACAAACAAUCUUUGCAAUAAGAUACUUAUACCAAAGCAAUUGUAUAUAGAUUUAGAAUCAAGAAUAAUACUUAUACUAGUUAUUUCUACCAAAUAUAGUCUAAUCUAAAAAUGAUAUUUUAUGAACAAAGAUUGAACUUAUUUCUAAUUUUCAAUAAGGAAAUAAAUAUAUUUUUUUGUAAGAAAUUUUGAAAGACAGUCAAUAUUAUAAAAUUAUUAAAACUUUUUAUUAUUAAAUCUGAUUUCUUUCUUUAUUUUGAAGGAAUUGAUCCUAAUUCUGUGGAUGGAAAUGCAAAUUUUUUGUUUUCAAAAGUAUUUUCUAUGCCAUUUAAAGGCUAAUAAAAAAAUCAAUUAUUGAUUUGAUUAGAUUUUUUUGCAAACUUCAAUUGUUAAAUUUUGUAAAACUUUUACAAUCAAAACAAUUCUGCAGCCUGGUAUACACUUCCUCAUGUCUUUGUUAUUGGCUACUUGCUGGAGUAUCAUAUGAUGUAUUUGUAAUAUUUUGCAUUAAAAUUUCCUUAACCAAUAAUUAUUAUGUAUUUCACAUAUAUUUAUUAAUAACAUACAAUACUUGCAUGUCUUCUGUAAUUUGAUUUAAUACAUUAUUUAAUUAUAACAUGAUGUAAAUACUCGUUAUUCAUUUAAUCUGCAUAAAUUCAACAACUUUAUUAUGUUUGACUUUUUACACUUCUAGUAAAAUUAAAAGUAGCUAAUUAAUUAUAUGAAUAAAAAGUAGAAAAUAAAAUAAAUUUCAAAGGAUAAUAUUAUGUAAUGAUGUAAAACGGAAUUUCUAUAUGUAUUUUUUUUAAAUAAAGAACUACAUCGUCAUAUGAAGAUAUCAUGAUUAAAAAUGACUUUUAUUUUUUGUAUUUUAAAUAAAACCUUAAAGAUCUAACAUUCCAAAGCAUAAAAAAUUGAAGUACUAAAUCAAUCUCGUAACCCAUAAAAAUAAUUUAAAAAAUAAUAAUAGUAAUAUCAGAGACAUCAGAGAAAGAAAUUUAAGGAUAUGAGAAUUUGGAAUCCAAUUAGAAUAGAAGAGUUUGAUCCAUGGAAACGCGAAGGGAGAAAUGCUGUAAUUGGAAUGAGGGCAGAUCCUGGUGGAUGUACAGGGGAUGAACGAAGAAUGUACAUAAUUCAGAUUUGGAUGAACAAAGGAUGGACGUCGAUGGAGAGGGAGAAGGGAUUGAAAUUGCAAGAGUGCCAGAGGUGCCCGUGCCUGGUCCCCGCACUGUCUACCGUCUCGUGCCGUGCCGUGCCGUUGCUGAGGCUGGGCUGGCAUGGCGAAAGGGGGGGGGGGUGUGCUGUGGGGAUGGAGUUAGGGCUUCUCACUUCCCCGCUCCGCACCGUGCCCUGCCGUGCCGUCCCUUGCUCUUGCGUCGUCUCUCAGCCUCGAUUUGGGCCCCACUCCCACUCCCACUAACCCUCCCUCGCUCACUCACCGCACCGUCCCAUCGUAUUCCCUCCCGCUUCGUAUCCUCCUCCCUCCCCCGUCCUCCUCGUCCUGGUCAAGCUGGUGCUGGUGCUGCACGACGUAUCCGCACGCAUCUCCAACACCUCUUUCCCUGCACUGCACUCCUUCGCUGGACUAGAUCUACACAAUUGCGUGCAUGAUUCUGGUACUAACCUGGGUUCUCCUUUGGCUGCUUACUUGCUUGGGGUUAUUUUAUUCUGUUUUUUUCGAAUUUGAAUAAUGGAUUUGUAGAUUUGCUUGUUUUACAUUAUUAUUAUUUCGAAAUUCAGAGUUGGGGUUGAUAUUGCGGAUACUAGUGCCCAGGAGAGCGUGGUCGGUGCUUAGGUUCUCUGAUGAGGCUGCAUUUUGUGCUUUAGAACCUUGGCUAGGUUUUUGAAGGUUUCGAGGCUUCUUAGCUCUGUGUACCUCCGCGGAAGCAAAUCUAGCAAGGGAUGUUUCUGGCUGCACUUUUCGCGAGUCAAUCAUACUAGAUUGCAGUAAGAGAAUGCAGCUGGAAGUACUAUGCGAAAAUUGUGUUCCUGCCGGACUGCAUGUUUCUACUCCUGGUUUUAGGAAUGGUUAGCACGGAUGAGUUUAAGAUCCUGAAUGAGGAGAAGCAAGUAUGAUCGCUCUGAAUGUGGGUGAACUACUAGAUGCACAGUAGGAUAGCUACACGCUUCAUUCGCAACGCGAAACCUAAAGAUUGGAACUUGAAUAUAAGAAUCAGGAAGUUAGUCGUACAAUUAUAGUCACGAGAUUCGUCAAUCGCUUGUUGCAAUGACAGUUUUACGUGGUAGUAUUCGUUAGAACCGAUGACUGUGUACAGUUGACGUUUCUGAUUCAUGAAAGUCAAUAGAAUUUGCAGGAGUUACACGUCAAGUUUAUUUAUUGUAGCAACUGAAAUCAUGUAAGUUCAAAUUUCGUCCCUGAAGAUCAAAACCCCUCAUAUUUGGGUGGAAUUGACUAGUUUGGAAUUUGCCAUCAUGUUACUGUCGAAUUGUAUUGUGAUCUCACUGUCGAAUCUUCUAGUUUUGUGUUGGCUUCCUUUUUUUUUCUUUUCCUUUUUUUCUGUUUUUUUUGAAACUUAAAGCUGUAGCACCUGCCGUGUUUGAAUAUUUUAGCAACCUUGUUCGUACAGAGUGUAAAGUUCCGGAAUUCCUUCUUGUGUCUAUGGGUUAGUGAAAUUGCCCUUUGGUUUUUGAACUUGAGUCAUAUGCCGAGAGUGUGGUCGCUGGUCUUGGCGACUCCAAUACCAAUGCUGGGGCAGUUCGGACAAACAACCCUGCCCCUGACAGUGAAGCUUUGUUUUAUGCUGCAAUCACAUUAAUUAGCAUAGGCAGUAACGGGUAUGUUUAUCUAUCAUGCACAUUACGAUACGUCUACUUCUUAAGGUCAUAUGGAUCCUUUUAUGUAUUCAUAAUUCACAGUCGAGUUUGCAUCCCCCACCCUUAAAUUAUCACAGGCAUUGUAUCCUUGAGACAGAGAGGAGUUGCAUAAUGGACAGGGCAGUAAUACUGUAAAAAAUUAAGCUGUGGUAGAGUAUCAAUCCGUCACUUUAUACAAAGCUGAUGUUUGCAGAAUUGGAUGCUUUUAACUAUAAGAAUAUAUUUUUACAUUUGUUUCUUGAAUAAAGUCUCGCAGGUAGCAGUUCGAAUAUUUGAUAGGUACAUCGGUGUAGGGUUGAGUUCAUUACCACCUUCCCUCAGCAGGUUACAUGGUAUAAUUCGCAACCUCCUAUUUUUGCAACUUUCAUUUUUUAAUGUUAUUUCUGAAAACAUUCCACCUGUAACAAGAAUUUUUUCCGACCUUCCCAGUCAGUGGACAUAGACGUCUUGACCUUUUUGAUUUAUACAAUUUUUUUAUGACGCUAACUUCAACAGGUUUUGAGAGGAAUAGCUUUGGUUACCAUGUCGAUGAUGGCAAUACGGCCACUAGUUGGUAGGUCCCUUGUUACUUCUGUAAUGCUUGACUUGGUAAACUUCAACUUAAAUCAAUUCUGAAGAACUAAGUGCUUUAAAUUGUAGUUAUCAUGUGAUGUGCAUUCUAGAUUUUAUGCAGUGCGAAACGAUCAUUUUCACUCUUUAAGUAUUAGCAGGAUUUAUGUUGAUUCAUAACCUGUUCUGCUGUAUGUUUAAGUGCCAAGCAGAAAAAGGGUCAGAUUCAAUUUAAAUAUAAAAGUAGUUUCUGUCUUUUUCACGUAGCUUUUACGUUUCCACAUUUCCAUACGGCGAUGCAAUCUUUUUCUCUAAUACUGUUCGUUCUCUCGUGAAUGUGUUUAUCUGCAUGAAAACUGUUUGUUCAUGGGUUCCCUUGACGUUGGCUCUGCUUUUUUACUUUUUAUUUUUUAUUUAUUUUGCAGAUGGAGAACACAACAUCUUAUACUAAGAAUGGCGCCAAUCUAGGAGUUGUCUUUAAGGAUGUGGAAGGUGAUUUUGUUUAAGUUUAUUCAUGCUUUUGUUUUCUAUUUUCUUUGUAUUUGUCUUCUUUCUAUUAAGACGUUUCUCAGGCGCACAUUUCAAGUAAAACAUAACGAUGUAAUUUUGUGUCUAAUGCUGUGUGGUUUUAAUUUUGUACCCAACUGUAGGAUUAAUUACACCUGGUGAGAAAGUGGAAGCCAAUUUUGGUUUUACACCAUUUACGUUUGACCUUGAAGAUCGCAGAAGGUAAAGAUUUUUGGAUGCUGUUUUAAGGGCUCUGUUUUUGCGCAGAUGUCCUUUCCUUAUCGACUAACUUGGUCUGGCCGUGAUUGCAUUGUUAUGUCAACAGGCUCCUGAAAUGAAGACAUUGUGGACCAUUGAUGGCAUUGAAAUACCUGAUAAGAAUCCUUGUCUUCACUCGUUGGUGGGCUUUUUAUCCGAAGCUUUUAGAAUUUUGGAUCGUCUUUGAAUAUCUAUGAAGUCGUGAUUGUGGAUUUAAUAUUUGUGUGCAUGCUUGUAACAGGUUAUUGCUUAUCUUAUGCAUUAUGGAUAUAGUGAAACAGCUACUGCAUUGAUUAGGGAAUCUGCUCUUGAGGGCAAUGUCAUCUCUGCAAAGGAAGCGGAGAGUAUGCUACUUCGAAGUAGUACGUUUCGAAAUUCUUUCUGAAUAUUUUUAGAACUUCUAUUAAUUAUUCAAAUUUCACAGAAUGUCUUUCAUUGAUUUGUCUCGCCUCGGUCUUAACAUGUCUCGAAAAUAAAUUGAAAUUUUCAUAUGGAGAUGUUCUUUAUUAGAAGUUCGAUAGCCAUUAUUGUUUAAGUUGCUCAUCGUGACCCAAAAUUGUCCUCAUUUAUUUGAGUUUUUUGACAGUAACGACUAUUUCUCAAAUGUUGCCAGAAAUUCAGGAGGCAGUCAUGGAUGGGCAUAUUGACGAGGUGAGGUGCUGUCCAAGUCGUACGAGGGUUAAGUUUGUUUGAAUGUGAUAGGAUGUAGUGGAUAAAUCAUUCAGUGACGUACAAACAAAAAUUGUUGAUUGCAAGUCAUAGAUCACAUCUGUAUAGUUUCAUCUACAAUCAGAAUCAACAAUAUUUUAAAAAGAAUUCCUCUGCACUCGCUUCUGCAUUUGAUAGGAAAUGUACUAUUGGUGAAUGCAGGCAAUUGAACAAACAAAUUGCGUUGCACCUGAGGUAUUGUAGCGAUGUGUACCUAUUUUAAGCUCAUGGUCUAUCCUUUGAAGCUCGUGACAUUACCCGAUAGUUACCCUCCAUCACCGAGUAUCUUGUUUGUUGUUGCGGAGAAAUCUUUGAUACCCCGUGCUCUGCUUUAAUGUCAAAUAAUAAGAGAACGCGAAGGAAAUGUUGCAACUUCCUCUUUGUAAGGUUUACCUGUCUGCUCUUUCACCGUCCGAAAGUAAGUGAAGUUGGUUUAUUAGAAUUGUUCUGUUCUCGUAUUGACUACCAUUUUCUUUUCUCAAAUUGCCAUGGCUUUGGAUUGUAUCUGGAUUUAUAGGUCUUUAUGUCUCAGCCAUCAGUGCUCUUUCAUUUGAAGUGCCAGAAGUUUAUUGAGAUGGUAUGUCAACUUCACAUCAGUCUACAUGCUCAACCCUUCCAACCUCAUCCAUGUCCUUGACAAUAUUGUUUCAUAGUCGAAAAAUUUAAAGCAACUUCAGACUGCUUUUGUACUUCGCAUAGAGAAUUCAACCAAUGCUGCAUAGUACAAUUCUUAUCUUUUUAGAAAUCGUUCGUAACUGAAAUUAAUGAGAUGCAUGAUUAACUGUUGGUUAUGAUGAUCAGAACCCUGUCAUAAGGUAGGCGUCAUCUGUCACACUUCUUGCUUUCAUUAUUCAAUUAAUGCAGUCUUUCUGUUCAUACUAGUCUAUAGUAUUUCUUGUGUAUAUUUGUUUCUUUCAGAUUAGAAGUGGUGACGAUGAAGCAACUAUGACCUUUGGUCGCACUGAACUUUCUGAGUUCGAUGCUGAAUCUGAAGAGGAUAGACAACACUAUCGGGUAUGUAGUACUUUUCUGUGCAAGUGUAUCAUAUGAUGCUUGACAUUUUGAAGAAAAUUCAUCUUCUUGUAUUUAAGUCGUAACCCACUUUAUUUUUCGAAAAACAGGAAGUCAUUUCAUUACUGGCUUAUCCGCGCCCAGAAAGUAGCCCUUUGAGGCAUUUGAUUCUGCCCUCUCGGCGACAGUCAGUUGCAGAAUCUUUAAAUCAAGCUAUCUUGAGUAGGUAACACUAAACCUUGCCCUGCAUUUGAGAGGUCGAUUACGUUAUAGUAUCUUCCUGGGCCUUCAUCACUUAAACCUGGGGAACACCAGAGUGUUAGACAAGUGUGCGUGACAUCUGGUGAUUUCAUGUUCGAUGAACAGUUUCUCAGGACAAGCCUGCACUGCCUGCACUCGAGGUAUGUACCUUUCAGAAAGUUAACGCUAGAUUAUUAAGUACUUUUAGUAUAUUUCAGACAGUAAUUUACUUCAUCGCUAUAAUUUGGUAGUAGAUUAUUCCCCUUUAUAAAUAUUGCUUCUUAUUCCAAUUGUAGUCUUGUAACUGUGUUAAGAAAGGGCAUGCUCCAUGAGUUGAAGCUCGAAUCCCAUGUGCAGAUGUUGCAUAAACAAAUUGUAGUAACCAAAGAAGUACUUUCACAACGGUCACCUGGUUCAGCUUCAAUGGUAAGGAUGCAUUCCUUACGUGUAUGUAUUGUUUGUGACCAAUGACUUUUAAAUAUACCCUGCAAGAUUUGCUAUGUUUACUUGUUAGGUGUUUUGUAGUCAAAAACAUGGUUUUUAAUUAAUAACAAACAUCUUAAGUCCUCAUUGUGAUCUACUUGUUUACUCGUAAUGUCUAGAUUAACGCCUACGAGGAGUUUCAUGGACUUUCAGAUGUAUUAAGUGGGUGAUGCCCAGAAAAUCCUUAAAGCGUUGAAGAUAAGGGAUGGGGAUGCGCUGUCGCAUUUUCACAACAGAAGCUCCUGGGUGAAUACGAUCACGAUAUGAGAGGUGCAGACAUAAAGCUGUUGUGCAAUACUGGUAGAAGUUGUGCUACAGCCAUCCCAUAUGAUGUAUUUUAGUGUAGACUUUUUUACCUUGCCUCGACAGACAUUGCACAAAUCACCCUACAACUACGCCUUGAUUUCCAAUGGCGUGUACAUGUCAUGUCUACAGCUUACUUCUCGAGAAGUAUGUGUUUACAGUGUAACCAAAGCUCUAAAAACAAUAGAAGUUGGGUUCCCACUAAGAAUAGUUUUUUUCUGUUUGUCCGGUCAAAUCCGCCGCUUUAUUGCUAACCGCAGUGAAGGCUUACAUAAUUCGCUGUCGCUUGGAGCGUUGUGGCACCUCCCAUUUCUGUGCAGUAAAUCAAGCAAAUCUAUAUUCAUUACAUGCAUGGUAUGAAGGCACAUAUUUAUCACUUUUGGUAUUGUAUUGGCGACAUUGUUAAGUAGGUUAUGGUCACCAGUGUUACAAAACCAAGGGUGCUCCAUUCACGAGACACUAUUCCCAAUGGUGGACUCUCAAUUGGUAGCACCCGAUACUAAAGUAUUUCUAGUACACUUUAAUUGUGAAUAAGCUCUAUACAAAUCGGAUUUUGAUACACAAACCAGACGACUUGGCACUCACAUAUUAGUGUUUUAAUCGUGCUCUGGAACUCCCAAGAGAUUCUGUGAAAAGUUCAACACGUAUCUACGUUCAUCGAAACUGCACUAAUCUCGACGACCUAAACAGAGUGUACGAUUCGGAAAUUAUCGUAAGUACUGACUUCAAAUCGCAAGCGGAGAUGCCAUGACAGAAGAGGCCAGAAGAUCGACAAAGGAUAAUCGAAGAUGGACGGCUACGAUGGGACGGGAGGAGGUGCUACGGCCAAAGCCUUGCAGCCUAAACCCUAAACCCGAAUUCGCAACCUGGGCUUGAAGCUCCUCGACUGCGACUCGCUUCUACAAUAUCCGACCUUCCAGGUACAAAUCGUUUCUCUUUCCUAACAAACAUCUGAAGUCUUCAAUGCUCUAGGUCACUGCUGCCCCCACCCUUAGGUUCUGUCUCAAAUUCGAGGACAUAUCCUCCUCUAUCUAGCGCAACGUCGUCCACUCAGACGGACUAGAGUUCAGUAUUUUAGGUCUUUGUGGAAAGCAUUGCUACAAUUAAGAGGAGCAGCGAAGAAUGGCGGGGACGGGGAGCAAGAAGAAGAGGAAAGACAAGCAUCGCGAGGUCGAGGAUGCGGAGGGGCAGCGGGUGGUGUUGGGGGACGCCCCUUCGAACGAGCAGGCGGACACCGAUUACCUGAUUAAGCCCCAGUCGACGACCCCGCCGUUGGACACCUCGAAGUGGCCAAUUCUGCUGAAGAAUUACGACAAGCUGAACGUGAGGACGGGGCAUUACACGCCGCUGCCGACGGGGCACACGCCGCUGAAGAGGCCGCUUCACGAUUACGUGAGGUAUGGAGUGAUCAAUCUGGACAAGCCGGCGAACCCGUCGUCGCACGAGGUGGUGGCAUGGAUUCGGCGCAUGCUGAGGGUGGACAAGACCGGGCACAGUGGGACGCUGGAUCCCAAGGUGACGGGCAGCUUGAUCGUGUGCGUGGACAGGGCGACUCGGCUGGUGAAGGCGCAGCAGGGCGCCGGAAAGGAGUACGUGUGCGUGGCGAGGCUGCACUCGGCGGUGGAGUCGGUGGCGAAGGUGGCGCAGGCAAUUGAGACGCUGACGGGCGCGCUGUUUCAGAGACCGCCUCUGAUCUCGGCGGUGAAGCGGCAGCUGCGCAUUCGGACAAUCUACGAGAGCAAGCUGCUGGAGUAUGAUGCGGAGAGGCACCUGGUGGUGUUCUGGGUGUCGUGCGAGGCGGGGACGUACAUUCGAACGCUGUGCGUGCACUUGGGGUUGCUGCUGGGAGUGGGAGGUCACAUGCAGGAGCUGCGUAGGGUUCGGUCGGGGAUUCUGGGCGAGAAAGACAACCUGGUGACGAUGCACGACGUGCUGGACGCGCAGUGGGUGUACGACAACCACAAGGACGAGAGCUACUUGAGGCGGGUGAUCAUGCCUCUGGAGGUUCUGCUGACGAGCUACAAGAGGUGCGUGGUGAAGGACAGCGCAGUGAAUGCCAUCUGCUACGGGGCGAAGCUGAUGAUUCCCGGGCUGCUGAGGUACGAGCAGGGGAUCGAGGUGGGCGAGGAGGUGGUGCUGAUGACGACGAAGGGCGAGGCGAUAGCGCUGGGCAUCGCUCAGAUGACGACGGCAGUGAUGGCGACGUGCGAUCACGGCGUGGUGGCGAAGGUGAAGAGGGUGGUGAUGGAGAGGGACACGUACCCGAGGAAGUGGGGGCUGGGUCCGCGGGCGAUGACGAAGAAGAAGAUGAUCAGCGACGGGCUGCUGGACAAGCACGGGAAACCGAACGAGAAGACGCCUGCGGAGUGGCUGCGAGUGCCUCAGUUCGACGCGGCGCCGAAGAAGGCGGCCGAGGAGGAGGGGGCCAAGGCAGCAGCGGACGGCGGCGAGGGCGCGGAGAUGGCGACCCCGGCGAAGGGGAAGAGCAAGGGCGAGGCGGACAAUGGCGGUGCGGAGGAGGUAGAGAACGGAUCGAAGAGCGAGAAGAAGCGGUCGAAGGAGGCGUCGAGCCCCGUGACACAAACGCCGGACACGGCUCCGAAGAAGAAGAAGGCGAAGAAGGGAGAGACGGCAGAGGAGACGAAUGGAGAAGCGACGACGGAGAAGAAGAAGAAGAAGAAGAAGAUGAAGUCGGGGGACGUGGAGAUGGAGGAGGCGACGGAGGUGGCAGCUAGUGUAGAGAAGAGCGAGAAGAAGAAGAAGAAAAAGAAGAAGUCGAGCGAAGAUGUGCAAUAGAGGUGGCGUAGGGACGGUGGUUAAAUUAAUUUUUUUUUCGUUUUUUUUAAAAUUAUUUUGCCCCUUCUUUUUGUUAAAUUUUCUUAUUUCCCCUUGAGUAGUGAUAGCUUUCGGUACAGGGACAAGCUGGCGUAUGAAUUUUGGUUCUAAGAACGACGAGGCAGUUUUCAGAUAGUGCCAUGGGAAUGAAAGGAGAGGCAUCACAAGAGAUGAUGUCGGAAAGGUUUUCAACGUCUGCGUGGGAUGUAUGAUGUGCGGUGGAUGGGAAUGGGGGUGGGGAUGGGCGUGGGCAGACAGUGGAUUGUUGUGGAUGCGGAGGUGAUUGUGGUGCAUGCAGCAGCUGUGUGGCGGCGCGGUUGAGCUGGUUGUGAGUUGUGGAGUCGGGUUGGGAUGUGUUGUGCUGGGUGUGGGCGGGCAGCAGGGUAGUGGAGUGGUGUGGCAGGGUGUUGAAUUUGAGGAGGGGAUGCGUGGUGGGGUUGAGUGGGGGUGCCGCGUCACAGUGCAGGGUUGUAGCGCGAUGGUCGGUCCCCGGGCAGUUGGAAGUGUCCGUGAUCUUGGGGCGGAAUGUGGUUGGGAUGUGGGGUUGGGCGGUGUUCGCAGUGGAAGGGUGCAUGCUGUUUGUGUGAUAUCCGAUGCGAGUUGUGAAUGAAAGUUGGAGUUGGAGCGCCCCAUGCAUUGUUGUUGGUGCAUGUUAAAAAUGCGCAGGCUUUUCGAUUCCACGUGCGUGGGGCAAACCACAAAGCAGUGGGCCGGACGUGGUUGCGAUCCCGCCGCGUGCAGUCGAAGCCGUAAUGGUUGGGAUGUACAGUUGGGCGUCGUCAUCUCGGAUUGAGCUUGGCACUCGUUGUGAUGGAGGCAUUCGCGCGAAGGGGUGUCGGUAUUGGUUGUAGUUUAUUCGGUGACACUUGGGCCGAUGAAGGGGUGUUUGUUCAGUAUGCUUGUACUCCUAGCAUAACCUACGGUGUCUGUUCAUUAUGCGCAUAGUCUCAGCGUUAUCUGUGGUAUGUUAACAGCAUGCACAUGGUCUUAGCAUUGUGUGUAGUGUCCGAAACUGUAUCCCGAUGCAUGGUAUGAGUGUACUCUUUUGUUCUCACAUGCAACGAUACGAUAGUGCAACUCUGGCUUACCAACACUGUAAUCGUCAUGGCUCGCUGGGCUCGUAGCUGUUUGGGCCGCAAGAUAGGCGGCACCUUAGAUGGUAUGAUGUGAUACAAGAGUCAAGUUAAAUUGGCUUGAUGAGUCGGCGCUGAGGAUUAGGGUUGACCUAUGACGCUGGGGCCAUUCGUGGGCCCGCAGCUACCAAAACAAUUUGUACAUGACGGCGACGGAGAGAGCUACUGCAUGUGAUCAGGGAACGGUGAACCUGAGCGAGCAGGGUAUGUUUCAGUGGGGAGGUUCGGGGAUCUGAGGUGUCAGUCUGAAGGCGAAAAAGUAGUACAGGUCGUUUUGUGACACCGAUGACAUUGUUUUGUCUUCCUGGUUGUUCUCCUGGGAAGAAAAGAAACACUGUUGGAUUGUGUGAUACCGGUUGGAUUGUCGAGUGUGAGUAGUCGUGUGUAGAGGACAGUGUGGUACAGAAGUUCGUGAAAGCAAAGGCGAUGUCGGGGUCCGGCAUUGGUAUGCGAAUGAAGUAGGGAGUGGAUGUAGGUGGAGGUAGCUUACGACGACCCAGGAGGACAGCAAUUGUUGGUAUUCAUUUCGAUGUCGAAUUCCACGAGUCGGUUUAUGUCUCGUUGAGAAUGAAGAUUAGGUAGAGCAACUUCAGCAAGGGUGCGAAUGCGACAGACGGCAGAAUCACUUCCUUGAGGGCAGGUGGGAAUUGCGGUGAAAGCUUUUGCAAGAGUACACUAUUGUAAUCCUUGCCGAGCAGGGAUCAGAAGCUCAUGGUACGGUUCAUCACAGAAGGGUGCUUCCAAUCACAAGUCACAAAAGGAGAAAUGGCAACCUUCGUGGAGGUGUGCUGAUAGUAAUGUUGCUCGGUGAAGGAGUAGAGUAGAGCUGCUGUAUGUUGGAGGUGAGUGCGAUCAGGACUAUGUCUGAAGAAACAUUUGUUCGUGUUAAGGGGACAGAUCGGGAAGUUGGAAAAUGAGAUGUGUGUGGUUGAAACAAUCUCACCGUACAGGGAUACAACGUGCAGCAACCUAAGAUACAAGGCAAUGCAAAUAACUCGUGACAUUUAAUGACGCAGUCGUUCUCAGGGAGCGCGAACCGGAGCAGUGAUUUGAGCAGGGAAAUGCGGAGAACAGGAAAGUCGGGAGGACGGGAGGAGUGCCAGGAUUGCGAGCGCAUUCCGGGCAUAUAUAUAUAUAUAUAUAUCCACACACUUGGGCCUCUUGGUCAUGGUUGCAGUGGAUAUGGGGUGGAGCUUCGGAAGUGAGGAGUUCCAGUGAAUUGCAGAAUGUUGGAGUGCGAGCAGGCGCUGUGAGGUCUUGGUUGGAGACAUGGGUUUGGGGAGGGAGACAUUGCACACUUGUAUUAGGGGCUGCAGCUUCGCAUACUAGUUUUAGGGGAUGCGGCUUUGCACACUCUUCGUGACGAGCAUGAACGUUCCGACGCUGUGAGGAGAGAGGGAAGGACGCGAGUUGGGGAGCAAGUGGGAGGGGGAACUGACAAAAGUGACCACGAGGGGAUUCGAACCCCCGACCUUCAGAUCCGAAGUCUGACGCGCUAAUCCACUGCGCUACGCGGCCGGGCGAGUGAAACGAUAGAAGCGAUCAAUCGAGGAUCGUUUGUAUACUAAGAAUUUCGAUGUAUGAUUGGAGAGCAGGUUUUGCACUGGUAGACUGUUCUUCUAUGUCGCAAUGCUCUACUAGUGCAUGUGAAAUGGCAAGCAUUAUGACAUGCUACUGCCAAGGCUAAGGAUGCAAGGUUAUGAGAACUAAUGAUUAUCCCGAUUGAUAUUGAACUUGGGAUGCUUCAUGCUUAUGUACAUUCGUGCACUUUUAGAUUUGAAGACUGAGAGGGAAUUUAUUUGCUGAACAUGAUGUGUAGUUUAACCUUGUGACAUAUUAUAUGUUUUUUCAUGUAUAAUCGGGUUGAUCCAUGUAUGCAGCAAAUACGAGGAGGCGUGAGAAUUUGGAUAGAAAAGUUGGUUUACUUGUGAUUUGAAGGAAGGAAUGAGGUAAAAAGGUUCUGAAGCUCUCUCAAGUGGAAAUGUUGGUUAUCACAAGUUGCACAAUUGAAAUCACACAAUUGAAGAGCAUGAUGAAUGACACCUUAGCAGAACAAGUAUUGCCCUUUCCUACUACUUCUCUCUUAGUAAAGCUAUCAAAGCCAGUUUGUAGUAAGUUUGUGAUCAUGAUAAGGUGCAAGUCAUCAAAGUAUAUACCGCUUCUUCUUCUUCCUCUUUUUUUAUCCCAAACUUGAGACAACAAAAAAUUGCCAAAAAACAAAAAACGAAAAAAGAAAAAGAUAGUUAGUGCCAUUCGGAAGAACGUGUGUUCCAAGAAGGUACAAUUGGUUCUUGUGGUCUUUUUGUGCUACGUGGGUCGAAAUAUAUCUUUAUUUUCGAAAUCUCAUUGUGUUUGUGAUUUAGGCACUGUUAUAUAUAUUUUGUUUGAUAUAUUUGUUAAGUUAUAUACACAUGGUUCUUCAAUUUAUGAAUUGUGAGGGUACGGAUUUGAUUGUAGUUGUAAUGCCUUCUUUUGACUGCGUAAUUUGUUUUUAAUCCAGAUGGUCCAUGAAUUAUAAAUUGAUAUGCUUUUUUGAUUAUUAUUAUAAUAUAUGAUUGUAUGUCUAUGUGCUAUGUAGAUGUAUAUUGCGACUGUUUGCACAUUUAUUUUUAAUGCUUUUAAGAUAUAUUAUUUCUAUGUAAACAUAUAUUGUAGUGUUUAGUAUGUGUUUGUAAGAAUUUUCUAAUUAGUGUUUUUUUGCUUUGUCGACAGUGUGGUUGCAUUUCAAAGUUGUGGGUUCUCGGAGUUUUAGUUAGUUUUCUUCUGUUACUAUAUCUUUCUGGAUUUGCAUUUAUCGCUAUUACGAAAGAUGGGGCAUAGGAUAUGUCCUUUUUUUUGUUUUGUUGAAGCAGUUGUAAUUGAUAUUUUCUUGAAAUUAGUCGAAAGCAUUGUAGAUUGACAGUGAUGUCAUUAACAUGUGCAGAAUGUAACGUAUUGUCAUUUUACAUUUUAGGUUAUUUAGCAGAGAAUAGAUGUUUAAAUUUUUUUGAGUCGUAUAUUUUUCACGGCCCCUGCUUUGGAAGUAUUUAUUGGUCUGAUAUAUUCAAAUGUCAUUGUUUGCAAUAUUGUUUAGAGAACGAUGUUUACGAAGUUCUCAGAUCCAUUCACCAUUAAAAGUCUUCAUUGCGUGUUUUCUUCCAAAACAUGGAAAUGAUGUCCUGAGAUUAUUGACGUAAAUAGUUAGCGAAUAGCAAGAUAUCUUAAAUGUUACAGCAUUGGAAAUAUUUGAUUAGGCUUUUGUCAAGAAUUCCACCACCUACAUCCGAAUGUGUGAUUGUUGAAGACAUUUGCAAUUCUACGCAUUAACCGUUUUAGCUCAUUUUCUUGGCCACAAGCAUUUUUAAAAAUACAAGCAUUUAUAACCACAUGCCGCUGAAUUUGAGACAAGUUAUCCUGAACUACUCAGGAGGGGUUCAAGAUUGGUGGGAGGCUGCCAACGUGAGUAUGGACUGUACUAGUUUAGUGUGAAGGGUGGCCAAUAGGAAAGGCAAGCUACGGAAUGGAGGAAUUGGAAAUGCGAGUAGGAAGAGCUUCAAAAGGGCAAGCAUCACUGGGCAUUUGUGAGGACGAUGAAGAAAUAUAUACCAACAUUUUGGGCUUGGUGACCAGGAAGGGGGUUGUGAGGCCACAGCCUCAGGGAUCCAAUUAAGGCUGAAGCCUUACCCACGGACUUCGGUGCCCGACCCCACCUGCUGAGUUGGUAAUGCCAUGUCGUAUAACCUUAUUCUGGUGAUUCACAUUUGAGUGGCUGCCCAUGUGGCACUACUGCACAAAACACGGAACACCCCUCAACUGGGUGCUAGUUAUGUUGGGGUUUUUAUAUCAACCAAAGUGUUAACACAUUUCAUGAUUAUAACAUUUGGUAACUUGUAAGUAGAUGAUUCAGAGUGAGUUCCUUGAAACAUUAGUUGUUCCAUGAAUAUGAACAACUAGGAGAGCAUUUAAAAUUAGCAGAUGUAAUGAAUCAGAACAAUAUGUAUGCCUUGAAUCUAUUAAUGACCUUCUUGUGGUGUCAUAUAUUUUUAGUCCAAUUUGAAAAUAACACUAACUAUAGAGUACGUAGAAUAAAUUCUUCCAUCCAUGAAUUCUUAUUUAGAGUAAAAUAAGGUUGAAGAAGCCGCUUGCAAGC
rnacentral:lncRNA from 1 species